UUGUCAAGCUUUCUGCCAGGAUUUUUUUGGUCAAUAGAUGGCUGAACAAUCAAGAAGACAAGAAAGUAAUUAUCAAACAAUUGUUGAUAAUCAGAAAGAAUUUUUUCAGCAACAACAAAAAUGGCAAGAAGAUCACCAUCAGGAAAUGCAAUCUCACAUGCAAUCUUACGUGGACAAUAGUUUAAUUUCGAUGAGAUCUUACUUUGAAGUACGGAACAACAACAUGCUGAAUAGAAU
rnacentral:lncRNA from 1 species